rnacentral:tRNA from 1 species
GCCGUAAUAGCUCAGUUGGGAGAGAGUAAGACUGAAGUUGUUUACGCAACAGUCAUCUAAAGGCCCCCUGGUUCAAUCCCGGGUUCCGGCU